AACGAACGCUGGCGGCAGGCUUAACACAUGCAAGUCGAACGCCCCGCAAGGGGAGUGGCAGACGGGUGAGUAACGCGUGGGAAUCUACCCAUCUCUGCGGAAUAGCUCCGGGAAACUGGAAUUAAUACCGCAUACGCCCUAAGGGGAAAGAUUUAUCGGGGAUGGAUGAGCCCGGGUUGGAUUAGCUAGUUGGUGGGGUAAAGGCCUACCAAGGCGACGAUCCAUAGCUGGUCUGAGAGGAUGAUCAGCCACAUUGGGACUGAGACACGGCCCAAACUCCUGCGGGAGGCAGCAGUGGGGAAUAUUGGACAAUGGGCGCAAGCCUGAUCCAGCCAUGCCGCGUGAGUGAUGAAGGCCUUAGGGUUGUAAAGCUCUUUCACCGGUGAAGAUAAUGACGGUAACCGGAGAAGAAGCCCCGGCUAAUUUCGUGCCAGCCGCCGCUGUAA
rnacentral:rRNA from 1 species